CGGGAAGUAGCUCAGCUUGGUAGAGCACAUGGUUUGGGGACCAUGGGGUCGCAGGUUCGAAUCCUGUCUUCCCGACCA
rnacentral:tRNA from 1 species